rnacentral:rRNA from 1 species
GACGAAGGAUGCAAGCGUUAUCCGGAUUCAUUGGGUUUAAAGGGAGCGUAGGUGGUCUUGUAAGUCAGUGGUGAAAUCUGGCAGCUUAACUGUUAAAUUGCCAUUGAUACUGCAGGACCUGAGUACAGAUGCCGUUGGCGGAAUAUGACAUGUAGUGGUGAAAUACAUAGAGAUGUCAUAGAACACCGAUUGCGAAGGCAGCUGACGAAACUGUAACUGACACUGAGGCUCGAAAGUGUGGGGAUCAAACAGG